UCAAGAUCAUCAUCUUCACCUCUUCUCCGUCUAGAUCUCUCUGCACCUGGUUUUUCAAAUUCGUCGAAGUCAUCAUCUGGUAGACAACAAUAUUUGUUCCUUCCGACCGGUUUUGAACUAUGGACCCCUUGCAGAGAUGCGUUAGCAUCUAGCAACAUGUGUGAUUGAGAUGGCUGAUGGAGAUGCUGAGUAUCCAAGUUUUGAUUUCAUAAUUCUUGGAUGGCCUUG